rnacentral:misc_RNA from 1 species
UACGGAGACCUCGAGCGUUACUCGGAUUCACUGGGCGUAAAGGGUGCGCAGGCGGUCGCGUGUGUCAGGUGUGAAAUCCCGGGGCUUAACUCCGGAACUGCGCCUGAAACUACGCGACUAGAGGCUUGGAGAGGUAAGCGGAAUUUCCGGUGUAGCGGUGAAAUGCGUAGAUAUCGGAAGGAACAUCAAUGGCGAAGGCAGCUUACUGGACAAGUUCUGACGCUCAGGCACGAAAGCGUGGGUAGCGAAAGGG